AAGGGCACCACAAGAACGCGUGGAGCAUGUGGCUUAAUUUGACUCAACGCGGGAAAUCUUACCGGGUCCGGACACACUGAGGAUUGACAGGCAAUAUUAAUACGUGUUCGCACGUAUUAUGUUAAAUAUGCUAGUCCUUUCAUGAUUAUGUGAUAGGUGGUGCAUGGCCGUUCUUAGUUCGUGGAGUGAUCUGUCUGCUUAAUUGCGUUUCACUAAGGGCCUAUAAAUUUACGUGUGUUGCGGCACUUUGACCCCUUUCUUCGGAAAGCGCGUGUCUUAGUUUGCUUUGCUCACACAAUUAGGUCCUGAAAGCAACGAACGUGACCGCAACCUCUUGUUGCCUUUAUACCAAACAUGUUUGACAUUUUUAUGGCAUUCAUGAAAAAAGGCUUUUUAAACUAGAGGGACCGCUGUUACUUUCUUAAACCAGAGGAAGGUUGCGGCAAUAACAGGUCUGUGAUGCCCUUAGAUGUUCCGGGCUGCACACGUGCUACAAUGAUUAUUGCAGUGAGCAUCUCAUUUUUACACACCGCAUGCGCGAGUCCAUUUAUUCACUUCGGUGCUUUAAAUGUGUAUUUCUGCGCGCGGUAAAGCCUGCUUCGAAAGUAAGUGGGUAAUCAAUUAGAAGUAAUGAUUUCCUUUUUAGCACACAUAUAUACGGCGUCUAUACCCGGGUUACCUUGUUGUAACUUUUGUGUGUAUAGAUGUUUUUUCCGUAUGUGCGAUUGUCAAUUCAUGGUGGGGACAGACCAUUGUUAAUUGUUGGUCUCGGUCUUAACUAGGAAUGCCUUGUACGGGUCUUUGGUUCAACAAACCACCCGGAAUACGUCCCUGCCCUUUGUACACACCGCCCGUCGCUCUUACCGAUGGACUUCUCUGUGAGUUUGAGGGACUGGGAACGCAGAAUUUAUUCUGCACACCUAUGGAAACUUAAACGAACAGUGUGGUCUAAAGGAAAGAGAAGUCGUAACAAGGCA
rnacentral:rRNA from 2 species